rnacentral:rRNA from 1 species
UACGAGGGGGGGCAAGCGUUGUUCGGAAUUAUUGGGCGUAAAGGGUGCGUAGGCGGUUUUGUAAGUCUUGUGUGAAAUCUUCAGGCUCAACUUGAAGACUGCACGAGAAAACUGCAGGGCUUGAGUGUGGGAGAGGUGAGUGGAAUUCCUGGUGUAGCGGUGGAAUGCGUAGAGAUCCGGAAGAACACCGGUGGCGAAGGCGGUUCUCUGGGCAUGUCCUGACGCUGAGGCGCGAAAGCGUGGGGAGCAAACAGG